rnacentral:rRNA from 1 species
CACCAGACUCCUACGGGAGGCAGCAGUGGGGAAUAUUGCACAAUGGGGGAAACCCUGAUGCAGCAACGCCGCGUGGGUGAAGGAGCGUUUCGGCGCGUAAAGCCCUUUCAGCGGGGAAGAAGAAAGACGGUACCCGACCAAGAAGCCCCGGCUAACUACGUGCCAGCAGCCGUGGUAAUACGUAGGGGGCAAGCGUUAUCCGGAUUUACUGGGUGUAAAGGGAGCGCAGACGGCUGUGCAAGUCUGGAGUGAAAGGCGGGGGCCCAACCCCCGGACUGCUCUGGAAACUGUAAAGCUGGAGUGCAGGAGAGGUAAGCGGAAUUCCUAGUGUAGCGGUGAAAUGCGUAGAUAUUAGGAGGAACACCAGUGGCGAAGGCGGCUUACUGGACUGCAACUGACGUUGAGGCUCGAAAGCGUGGGGAGCAAACAGGAUUAGAUACCCCAGUAUA